rnacentral:rRNA from 1 species
GAUGAACGCUGGCGGCGUGCCUAAUACAUGCAAGUCGAGCGAAUGGAUUAAGAGCUUGCUCUUAUGAAGUUAGCGGCGGACGGGUGAGUAACACGUGGGUAACCUGCCCAUAAGACUGGGAUAACUCCGGGAAACCGGGGCUAAUACCGGAUAACAUUUUGAACCGCAUGGUUCGAAAUUGAAAGGCGGCUUCGGCUGUCACUUAUGGCUGGACCCGCGUCGCAUUAGCUAGUUGGUGAGGUAACGGCUCACCAAGGCAACGAUGCGUAGCCGACCUGAGAGGGUGAUCGGCCACACUGGGACUGAGACACGGCCAAGACUCCUACGGGAGGCAGCAGUAGGGACUCUUCCGCAAUGGACGAAAGUCUGACGGAGCAACGCCGCGUGAGUGAUGAAGGCUUUCGGGUCGUAAAACUCUGUUGUUAGGGAAGAACAAGUGCUAGUUGAAUAAGCUGGCACCUUGACGGUACCUAACCAGAAAGCCACGGCUAACUACGUGCCAGCCGCCGCCGUAA